AAAGAAAAAAGUCGGUGAGAGAUUAUCCACUUUACAGAGCACGCGAGUGGAUGGUUGCUUCUCUUUCCAUCAUCCCCCGACUGAUUCAGCGAUGAUGUCACUGUCCGCGCCAUCUCUCCACCGCUCCGCCGGCCAUGGCUCUCCGAACUUGCUUGGCCCUCUCCGACCACCGCCCUCUCACGAAAUUCCUCAUUCUCGAUCGCCGCCCCUCGCAUACCGACUCAGAGUCGCGGCCCUCGAGCCCGAGUUUCGGGCUUUCCCCACGAGGGCGACCGGUUCGUGAUGCCAGCAGUUCGUCCGAGCAAGAGGGAGGCGAGCCUGGCGAUUUUCGCAGUCCUGCUAAAUGGGUGUGGCCCGAGCGCGUCGAUGGCGACGUUGCGACAAGAAGUGGAGCUGGAGAGGCGCACAGACUCCGAGGACGGCUUCACCCUCCUCUAACCCUCUUCUUGGACGAAGGUGGACAAAGCAGGGGUGACGGUGCUGUUUGAGGAACCAGCCAAGGAGAGCAAGUCCUCAGUUUGUCGCGGAUUCACAGCCAUCGGAUCCAUCAGCUGAAGGUCCAAAAUCUUCUUCUUCUUGCACAGCAGAAAAUCCGGGAGGUAUGGGGGCGAAAGCAGCGAGAGCAGAGAGGUCUGGGGGACAAUCAAUCAAGAUCCUUAACCCACAGGCACUCAGCAUGUGACAUUGGGGAAGGUGAAAGCUUUUACCUCUGCUUAAGCAUGUCUGCAUAAUGGGGUAUGUUCCAAAUUCAAAUUGAACUGAAUGUGAGCACCGGAUACGUUAAUUGACAGAAGGACGUGCAUUAAGAACACCUGUUAAAGAGAGACUUACCAACUUCAUGAAGCCAAAUCAAGGUGGAGACUUUUACGAGAUAAAUUACAGAAAAAGUGACAAUCAGAACGAGGAGAUUUCACACGCACUUGGCUCUCUUGCCCUCGGGCGGAGAUGAAACGAAGGAGAGAAGGAGUUUUGGGUUUUCACUCCUCAGAGGAGAAGGAAACAGAGCAAAGGCCGAGAAGCUCUCAACAACACAACGAGAAUUUUUUUAUUUAUUAUUUAAAUUGUAUUGAGAAAUGGAAAAUCCAAAUCAGGACAAGAACUUCGGUACCCUCAUUCGCCGUUGGUUGUUGGCUUUAGCGGUGAUAGGGGAUUAAUAAGAAGCAAAUAAUUUAUUCUUUGAAA